UACGUAGGUCCCGAGCGUUGUCCGGAUUUAUUGGGCGUAAAGCGAGCGCAGGUGGUUUAUUAAGUCUGGUGUAAAAGGCAGUGGCUCAACCAUUGUAUGCAUUGGAAACUGGUGGACUUGAGUGCAGGAGAGGAGAGUGGAAUUCCAUGUGUAGCGGUGAAAUGCGUAGAUAUAUGGAGGAACAUCGGUGGCGAAAGCGGCUCUCUGGCCUGUAACUGACACUGAGGCUCGAAAGCGUGGGGAGCAAACAGG
rnacentral:rRNA from 1 species